AGCUUGCUCCUCUGACGUUAGCGGCGGACGGGUGAGUAACACGUGGAUAACCUACCUAUAAGACUGGGAUAACUUCGGGAAACCGGAGCUAAUACCGGAUAAUAUAUUGAACCGCAUGGUUCAAUAGUGAAAGACGGUUUUGCUGCCACUUAUAGAUGGAUCCGCGCCGCAUUAGCUAGUUGGUAAGGUAACGGCUUACCAAGGCGACGAUGCGUAGCCGACCUGAGAGGGUGAUCGGCCACACUGGAACUGAGACACGGUCCAGACUCCUACGGGAGGCAGCAGUAGGGAAUCUUCCGCAAUGGGCGAAAGCCUGACGGAGCAACGCCGCGUGAGUGAUGAAGGUCUUCGGAUCGUAAAACUCUGUUAUUAGGGAAGAACAAAUGUGUAAGUAACUAUGCACGUCUUGACGGUACCUAAUCAGAAAGCCACGGCUAACUACGUGCCAGCAGCCGCGGUAAUACGUAGGUGGCAAGCGUUAUCCGGAAUUAUUGGGCGUAAAGCGCGCGUA
rnacentral:rRNA from 1 species